rnacentral:rRNA from 1 species
UACGUAGGGUGCGAGCGUUGUCCGGAAUUAUUGGGCGUAAAGAGCUUGUAGGCGGUUUGUCGCGUCUGCUGUGAAAAUCCGGGACUCAACCCCGGACCUGCAGUGGGUACGGGCAGACUAGAGUGUGGUAGGGGAGACUGGAAUUCCUGGUGUAGCGGUGAAAUGCGCAGAUAUCAGGAGGAACACCGAUGGCGAAGGCAGGUCUCUGGGCCACUACUGACGCUGAGAAGCGAAAGCAUGGGGAGCGAACAGG